rnacentral:rRNA from 1 species
AUUGAACGCUGGCGGCAGGCCUAACACAUGCAAGUCGAGCGGAUGAGGGAAGCUUGCUUCCCGAUUUAGCGGCGGACGGGUGAGUAAUGCCUAGGAAUCUGCCUAUUAGUGGGGGAUAACGUUCCGAAAGGAACGCUAAUACCGCAUACGUCCUACGGGAGAAAGUGGGGGAUCUUCGGACCUCACGCUAAUAGAUGAGCCUAGGUCGGAUUAGCUAGUUGGUGAGGUAACGGCUCACCAAGGCGACGAUCCGUAGCUGGUCUGAGAGGAUGAUCAGCCACAGUGGAACUGGGACGCGGUCCAGACUCCUACAGGAGGCAGCAGUGGGGAAUAUUGGACAAGGGGCGAAAGACUGAUCCAGCCAUGCCGCGUGUGUGAAGAAGGUCUUCGGAUUGUAAAGCACUUUAAGUUGGGAGGAAGAGUUGUAAGCUAAUAUCUUGCAGCUUUGACGUUACCAACAGAAUAAGCACCGGCUAACUCUGUGCCAGCAGCCGCCGUAACAC